rnacentral:rRNA from 1 species
AUUAAAAAUCUUGCUUUUAAUAUUAAAAAAGUUAAUAUUAAAAUUUAAUAUUUAUAAAAGUAAUUUAUAAAAAAAUAAUAUUUAAGUAAAGUUUAUUAAAAAAAUAAAAUAAAGCUAUAGUAAAAAGUACUGUAAAGGAAAGAUUAAAUAAAAUGAAAAUUUAAAAUAAUUUUAAGCAAUUAUGAAAUUUUGUACCUUGUGUAUCAGGAAAAAUUUAAUUAAUUUCUUUUAAUUAAGUCUAUCCCGAAAAGAAAAGAGCUAAUAUAUUAUAAAGUUAUCGUAUUAAAGAUAUUUUAAAUAUUAUAUUAGUAGUGAAAUGUUAAUCGGUUUUUUAUAUCUGGUUGUAAAUGAAUUAAAUUUAAUUUAAUGGUAUAUUAUUUAUAUAAUUAUACUUUAAAGAAAAGGAGGAAAAGCUUCUUUUUCUAUAAAUAAUUUUAUUGAGUUAAAUAUAAAGUUAAAUACAUUUAAAAUUAGGCUUAGAAGUAGCCAUAUUAAUAAAGUGUUUUAGCUAAUAAAAUAAAAAUCUAAUAUUUAUAUAUAAUAAACCUGUAAUAGUAAUUUGCAAAUUAAUAAAUUUAUAUUAUUUAUUGUUAAAAUGAUGUUAUUAGUAGAUAUUUAUUGUGUAUAAAAUAAUUUUUAAUUAUUUAUAAAUUUAUAAAUAUGAUUUUAAAUAUAUAAUUAAGGAAUUCGGCAAAAUUUUGCUUUUGCCUGUUUAUCAAAAACAUGUCUAUGCGAAGGUAUGUAGAGUCUGGCCUGCCCACUGACUUAACAAUGUUUAAAGGGCCGCGGUAUUUUGACCGUGCGAAGGUAGCAUAAUCAUUAGUCUUUUAAUUAAAGGCUUGUAUGAAUGGUCGGACAAAAAGUAAGCUGUCUUCAGUUAUAAAAAUUGAAUUUGACUUUUAAGUGAAAAGGCUUAAAUAAAACAAAGUGACGAUAAGACCCUAUAAAGCUUUAUAGUGUAAUUUUUUAUUAUAAAUUAUUAAAUUGUAUAACUUAAUUUAAAGUAAAACUCUUUCGUUGGGGCGACGAAAAUAUAAAAAAAAAUAACUGUUUUUAUUUAAAUAAAACAAAUAUAUUUGAUUAAAGAUGAUCCUUUAUUAAAGAUUAAAAGAUUAAGUUACUUUAGGGAUAACAGCGUAAUCUUCUUUGAGAGUUCAUAUCGACAAGAAGGGUUGCGACCUCGAUGUUGAAUUAAGGUUCCUUUAUGGUGUAGCAGUUAUAAAUGGAGGUCUGUUCGACCUUUAAAUCCUUACAUGAUUUGAGUUCAGACCGGCGUAAGCCAGGUCGGUUUCUAUCUUUUGUAAAAUAAAAAAAUUACUUUAGUACGAAAGGAUUAAGUAAUUAAAAUAAUUUUUAAAUUAAGAUUAAUAUUAAUUUUUAUUGCCUUGGCAGAAUUAUGUAUUAGACUUAGGAUCUAAAAAUGUGAGUU